rnacentral:rRNA from 1 species
UACGUAGGCAGCGAGCGUUGUUCGGAGUUACUGGGCGUAAAGCGUGCGUAGGCGGUUUUCUAAGUUUGGUGUGAAAUCUCCCGGCUUACCUGGGAGGGUGCGCCGAAAACUGGAAGGCUUGAGUAUGGGAGAGGUAAGCGGAAUUCCUGGUGUAGCGGUGAAAUGCGUAGAGAUCCGGAAGAACACCGGUGGCGAAGGCGGCCCGCUGGGCAGGAAGGCUCGCAAGAGCCGGCUGACACUGAGGCGCGACAGCGUGGGGAGCAAACAGG